rnacentral:rRNA from 1 species
AUUGAACGCUGGCGGCAGGCCUAACACAUGCAAGUCGAGCGGAUAAAGGGAGCUUGCUCCUGGAUUCAGCGGCGGACGGGUGAGUAAUGCCUAGGAAUCUGCCUGGUAGUGGGGGAUAACGUCCGGAAACGGGCGCUAAUACCGCAUACGUCCUGAGGGAGAAAGUGGGGGAUCUUCGGACCACACGCUAUCAGAUGAGCCUAGGUCGGAUUAGCUAGUUGGUGGGGUAAAGGCCUACCAAGGCGACGAUCCGUAACUGGUCUGAGAGGAUGAUCAGUCACACUGGAACUGAGACACGGUCCAGACUCCUACGGGAGGCAGCAGUGGGGAAUAUUGGACAAUGGGCGAAAGCCUGAUCCAGCCAUGCCGCGUGUGUGAAGAAGGUCUUCGGAUUGUAAAGCACUUUAAGUUGGGAGGAAGGGCAGUAAGUUAAUACCUUGCUGUUUUGACGUUACCAACAGAAUAAGCACCGGCUAACUUCGUG